UUUAGAGACCAUUUUUAAAACUAGAUCUAAAAAAAACAAAAGCUGAGUUUUAAAAGUGUCCUUAACCUUUUAUUGGACUGUUUUAUUACUAUCAUUAUUAUUAUUAUUAUUAUUAUUAUUAUUAUUAUUAUUAUUAUUAUUAUUAUUAUUAUUAUUAUUAUUAUUAUUAUUAUAAAGUGGUUUGCGGUAUUUUGGUUCAUUCAAACGGUGGAUCUAGCGGCGGUCUGCGGGACUUUGCGGGUGGAGGUUCGGGGAUUUUCACGCGUGUUUCCGCGGUCUGAGUCUCCGGAGGUCCAGAGCGGAAGGCUGCGGGAGGAGGAAGAGGAGGAGAGGAGGAAGGCUCCCGCCGCCUGCAGCUGCCUCUGUCCGCCUUAACUCAACUUUCUUCCGACUUUCUUCAGGGCUCUGGACGGCACCAUGGCGGCCAGAACCGGACCCGCCCGGACGCGACUGUGAGAAGGAGGAUGGAGGCUGAGAAGGAGUCAGCUGAGGAGGAGGAGGAGCUUCAUCAGGGUGCAGUGAACUAUCAAGACUUUCCCAUCAUGCACUGGGAAGACCUGGCCCUACGGAUUGCUGAGCUGGAGAAAUUGGAGCAGGAGAGGGCAAGGAAACGGACUGGAGAGGGGGAGGGGGGUGCCCUAGAUGAGGAAGAGGACCUCCGGCGAUGUCGGCUCGCCAUAGUCUCAUCCCGGUUUCUUCACCACAGAAACCUGCAGCUGUGCUUCACCAACAACAGUGACAGCGACGAUGAAGAGGAGAAGGUAAAAAUGAAGGGUCCCACCAGCGCGGGACACCAUGGUUGCCAUGGCACCGGAUUGAAACAGGAAGUGGCUGCAGCUUUGAGGGCGCUGAGAGACAAACUGCUGGCAGAACAGAAGGAGGAGGUGAAGCAGACGCAGAUGAAAGGAAAACCAAAGAGCAACUGUUGGGCUCUCACUCACAGCUUGUGUAGAUGGCAGCAGCUGCUUGGCUGAGCGGGAACAUCUGGAGCGUUCCGAUCUUCAGGAGCGAUCGUUGCAGCAGCUCUGCGGCUUGAGAGCGUCUCUGCAGCAGGAAGUUCACGCUCUGAGCUCUGAACUGGUUGCCCAGCUGUUGGUGCGGGACCAGCUGCGGACGAGGCAGGAUGCCAUGCUGCUGGAUGUCCAGGACCUGACCUAGCACCACGAUCUAGUUCCCAGCAGUGUUUCUUUGACUCCACUGGAGGUGGUCCAGGACAGGGUCUAACGGUUGGCCCCGCCCGUGAAACAUUUCCCCCCAAAUCAAAACUACCCGCAAGUUUUCGAUACCUUAACAACUUGUCUGAUGGUCCUUAUGGUCCUCUGGUUUGGACCAAGCAAGAGAGCUCUGGUCCUCUUGAGAACGAUGGACUCUGGCGCGGUUCACUUCGGUGUAAACACAGACAAAACCCGGCUGUGGCGUUUAUGUGAGGAACAGGAAUCAUGAAGACGUAUGAAAAUGUCUGCAGGGUAAACGUGGUAUGGUGACGAGCAGCAGACACUUAUUCAUUAAUGUGAGUCAGAGGAGUAGUGGGGUUGGAUGCACCUCCUCCUUUUGCUUUUUCCCUCCUGUUAGAAGCUCAUUUUGGAUAAAGGCCCCCAAAUGAGAAGCUCCUGGAAUAGCACGUUUUUCCAUCGUAUCUCCUGAGAGUGCUGUGUGUGAGAGCAAACCAAGCCAGAUCAAAGAACGACAUUCAUUAAAAAUCUUUCCAAUUCAAGAGAAGACUUUAAAGGUUAAACCAAACCUCUGAAGUUCUCCUGCAUCACAGCUCGGAGCCCGAAUAGAAGCUCAGCUGCUCCUUGGUUGGCUGAGCAGAUUUAAAGUGACUUCUGCAUAAGCAGACUGGCAGAACGUCUAACUUCAAUGACAUCUGCAUGGGUUUAACACAGAUCAGCUGAUCUUAUCUAGUUUUAAUGAGAAGGACUGCCAGGAGAAGAUUGAUCUCAGCCGAUCUCCAAAAGGUCAACAGGUCAGGAACAAACCUUGAUAGACACUUGUUCUGGUUGGGUUUGGUCUGAACCACUGGUUCUGAAGACGAUCAUCUAUGUCUAAUCAACUCAUCCUAAAACACUCUGUCCUGUUUUUCUUUUGCUGACAGUAUUUAUGGACAUGAUCCCCCGUUAGACCACUGCAGAAGUCUCUGUUAGAAGUUUGCAGAUUCAGUUUUUGGAACUGUUUAAGCUGCUUUGAAGAAACUCUGGACUCACCUGGAAACUCCUAAAAAUCUUACUAGUGAUUUCAGACACGGAUGUAUUGUAUCAUCAUACCAGCUUUUCUCAGCAGCAGGGGUGUGUGGGCCUCUCCCACGUCCCAUCCAAAAAGUCAAAGGGGCCAUUUCAUAUCAGUCAAUCGUAUCGAGCCAUGCUACAGCGCCUCUGUUCUCCUCGUCUAAGUUCUUUAGGGGGUUGGUUAAAUGUCCUAGCUUUGAAGGAUCACGUGUAAACAAUCAGAGCAGAUCCACACAGUGCCAGAGUCCUCUGAACUGUGAUCUAGAUCAUCUCUGCUAGCCGGCUUCUGCUUGGUUUUACUUAAUCGCACCCCAGGAUGAAACGAAGCGAUAACAGAAGACAAACCAACCGGACUCUAGGCUCAAGCGGACUCGCAUACGUAACAUCACAAGAUCAAUGGCUGCCGUUUGCACCAGCUGACAGGAGGAGGAGCAGGGAGCAGCUGCUCUAAUUCUCUUGGGGUAUACUUCUUGGUUUCAUUUCUUUCUCGAUCAUAACUUGAAGACAAAUCUAAUGAACCCGAGCUGUGACUUCAGUCCAAACUGUUUCCAAAGUUUUCUGCUCUAUGACCUUCUUCUAAUGACUGUAACAGCACAAGAUGACGUUCGUUCAGCCUGAAAAGACGGUUCGAGCUGAGUCGAAACAAACGGCAAUCAUCCAUUUGAACAGCAGCUGGAGGUUCUCCCUCAGCCUUCAGCUUUGAGGGUUUCUGGAUCCAAGCUGUUCUGUCACAACACAAACACAACACAACACAAAUGCAUCUAUACUGUUUUACAACAACUCUUCAAGCAGGGACAUAACUUUCCAGUGUGAUUAAAACAAGAGUGUUUUCAUUAUUUAUUAGAUAUAUGCAACAAGUAAACUUCCAUAGAAGAAGACUUUGAAAGUCUUUAUAAUUUAAAAAUCUUUUUUUUAAGAAUUUAACUAAAACUCAUUAAAAUUCAUUUGAAAGGAGUUCAGAUCACUGAGCAAUUAUUGAAGAAUCUGCAAAUGUAUUGCUAAAUAAUAUUUUCAUUACUAAGGAACAGUUUUUGUGUUCUCAUUUACACGUAAAGAUAUACAAUUAUUUUAUUUUCAGGGUUGAGAAUGAACACUUUAGCUUGAGGGAAAGAAGAAUAUUUUAUGCUCCAGAGAAUAAAAAAACUAAAAUACUAAGCAAUAAUUAAAGUAUUUAUUAACGUUUUUCUGUGGACUUAUUUUCUUGUAUUUGCAAUGUACAGAAUAAAUAUAAAUUUACCAUAUUUCUAAGAAAAAAUAAACUUUGAAAAUAUA